CUUGAUUUGAUGCUUUCUACAAGAAGAAAGCAUGGAUCUGGUGUAUAAAUGUUUAUCCUGUGUUUAUGGAGUGAUCUAAAAUUCUCAGAAAUACCUUGUACUUGAAAUGAUCCUAAUAUUUAGUACUCACACGUUAGUAUUUUAUAACCUCUGGUGUCGAACACUGCUAAAGUACAAAGUCUGGGAAGCGAAGACCAAGAGCAAACUCGAGAGUGAUAAUUGUGA
rnacentral:lncRNA from 1 species